GGCGGCAGGCUAACACAUGCAGUCGAGCGCCCCGCAAGGGAGCGGCGGACGGGUGAGUAACGCGUGGGAACGUACCCUUUGCUACGGAAUAGCCUCGGGAAACUGGGAGUAAUACCGUAUGUGCCCUUCGGGGGGAAAGAUUAUCGGCAAAGGAUCGGCCCGCGUUGGAUUAGGUAGUUGGUGGGGUAAUGGCCUACCAAGCCGACGAUCCAUAGCUGGUUUGAGAGGAUGAUCAGNCACACUGGGACUGAGACACGGCCCAGACUCCUACGGGAGGCAGCAGUGGGGAAUCUUAGACAAUGGGCGCAAGCCUGAUCUAGCCAUGCCGCGUGAUCGAUUGAAGGCCUUAGGGUUGUAAAGAUCUUUCAAGUGGGGAAGAUAAUGACUGUACCCACAGAAGAAGCCCCGGCUAACUCCGUGCCAGCAGCCGCGGUAAUACGGAGGGGGCUAGCGUUGUUCGGAAUUACUGGGCGUAAAGCGCACGUAGGCGGACAGAGAAGUCAGAGGUGAAAUCCCAGGGCUCAANCUUUGGAACUGCCUUUGAAACUUUUUUGUCUUGAGGUCGAGAGAGGUGAGUGGAAUUCCGAGUGUUAGAGGUGAAAUUCGU
rnacentral:rRNA from 1 species